rnacentral:rRNA from 1 species
UACGUAGGUGACCAGCGUUGUCCGGAUUUACUGGGCGUAAAGAGCGCGCAGGCGGUCGUUCAAGUCGAGUGUGAAGCCCCCGGGCUCAACUGGGGAGGGUCACUCGAUACUGAUCGACUUGAAGGCAGGAGAGGGAAGCGGAAUUCCCGGUGUAGUGGUGAAAUGCGUGAGAUAUCGGGAGGAACACCAGUGGCGAAGGCGGCUCCUGG